UUGAGUGGCGAACGGGUGAGUAACACGUGGGCAACCUGCCCAAAAGAGGGGGAUAACACUUGGAAACAGGUGCUAAUACCGCAUAACCAUAGUUACCGCAUGGUAACUAUGUAAAAGGUGGCUAUGCUACCGCUUUUGGAUGGGCCCGCGGCGCAUUAGCUAGUUGGUGGGGUAAAGGCUUACCAAGGCAAUGAUGCGUAGCCGAACUGAGAGGUUGAUCGGCCACAUUGGGACUGAGACACGGCCCAAACUCCUACGGGAGGCAGCAGUAGGGAAUCUUCCACAAUGGGCGAAAGCCUGAUGGAGCAACGCCGCGUGGGUGAAGAAGGUCUUCGGAUCGUAAAACCCUGUUGUUAGAGAAGAAAGUGCGUGAGAGUAACUGUUCACGUUUCGACGGUAUCUAACCAGAAAGCCACGGCUAACUACGUGCCAGCAGCCGCGGUAAUACGUAGGUGGCAAGCGUUAUCCGGAUUUAUUGGGCGUAAAGGGAACGCAGGCGGUCUUUUAAGUCUGAUGUGAAAGCCUUCGGCUUAACCGGAGUAGUGCAUUGGAAACUGGGAGACUUGAGUGCAGAAGAGGAGAGUGGAACUCCAUGUGUAGCGGUGAAAUGCGUAGAUAUAUGGAAGAACACCAGUGGCGAAAGCGGCUCUCUGGUCUGUAACUGACGCUGAGGUUCGAAAGCGUGGGUAGCAAACAGGAUUAGAUACCCUGGUAGUCCACGCCGUAAACGAUGAAUGCUAAGUGUUGGAGGGUUUCCGCCCUUCAGUGCUGCAGCUAACGCAAUAAGCAUUCCGCCUGGGGAGUACGACCGCAAGGUUGAAACUCAAAGGAAUUGACGGGGGCCCGCACAAGCGGUGG
rnacentral:rRNA from 1 species